AAUGAACGCUGGCGGCGCGCCUAAUACAUGCAAGUCGAGCGAGAAGACGUAGCAAUACGUUUGUAAAGCGGCGAACGGGUGAGGAAUACAUGGGUAACCUACCCUCGAGUGGGGAAUAACUAGCCGAAAGGUUAGCUAAUACCGCGUACGCUCCUUGGACUUCGGUUCAGGGAGGAAAGCGAUACCGUGGGUAUCGCGCUCUUGGAUGGGCUCAUGUCCUAUCAGCUUGUUGGGAGGUAACGGCUCACCAAGGCUUCGACGGGUAGCUGGUCUGAGAGGACGAUCAGCCACACUGGCACUGCGACACGGGCCAGACUCCUACGGGAGGCAGCAGUAAGGAAUAUUGCGCAAUGGGCGAAAGCCUGACGCAGCGACGCCGCGUGGGGGAUGAAGGUCUUCGGAUUGUAAACCCCUUUCGGGAGGGAAGAUGGAACGAGCAAUCGUUCGGACGGUACCUCCAGAAGCAGCCACGGCUAACUUCGUGCCAGCCGCCGCGGU
rnacentral:rRNA from 1 species